CCGUCGCUACUGCCGGCUAAACUGUUUAGUAAGAUCUCCGGACAUGAUCACUGCAACGCAUUUUAUGUUGAUGCGGAUGUUUUGCAAAAAUUGAUCGAACUUGAUUAUUUAGAGGAAGUAAAAGUCGGA
rnacentral:rRNA from 1 species